rnacentral:rRNA from 1 species
UGCAAAGUUGUGUAGUGCGAUCGGUGGAUGCCUUGGCACCAAGAGCCGAUGAAGGACGUUGUGACCUGCGAUAAGCCCUGGGGAGUUGGUGAGCGAGCUGUGAUCCGGGGGUGUCCGAAUGGGGAAACCUGGAAUGUCCGGAGUAGUGUCCGGUGGCCCUGCCCUGAAUGUAUAGGGGUGUGGGUGGUAACGCGGGGAAGUGAAACAUCUUAGUACCCGUAGGAAGAGAAAACAAGUGUGAUUCCGUGAGUAGUGGCGAGCGAAAGCGGAGGAGGCUAAACCGUGUGUGUGUUCAAGCCGGCAGGUGUUGCAUGUGCGGGGUUGUGGGGGCCUUGUGGUUCUGCUGCCGCAGGAUUGGCCAGUGAGAAAUGUUGCGUGAAGGUGAAGCGUCUGGGAAGGCGUACCGGAGUGGGUGAGAGUCCUGUAACUGUAAGCGUGGCACUGGUGUGGGGUUGCCCCGAGUAGCGUGGGACUCGUGGAAUUUCGCGUGAAUCUGGCGGGACCACCCGUCAAGCCUAAAUACUCCUUGGUGACCGAUAGUGGAUGAGUACCGUGAGGGAAGGGUGAAAAGUACCCCGGGAGGGGAGUGAAAGAGUUCCUGAAACCGGUCGCAUGCAAGCCGUCAGAGCCUGUGUGGUGAUGGCGUGCCUUUUGAAGAAUGAGCCUGCGAGUUAGUGAUGCGUGGCGAGGUUAACCCGUGGUGGGGGAGUCGUAGCGAAA